rnacentral:lncRNA from 1 species
AGGAUUUGGAUUAGGGUAUAGGAUUUGGUUAGGGUUUGAUUUAGGGUUUAGAUUAGGGUUUGGUUAGGAUUUGAUUUAAGGUUUAGUUUAGGAUUUAGGAUUGGAUUAGGGUUUGGUUUAGAAUUUGAUUUAGGGUUUGGUUUAGAAUUUAGAGUUUGGAAUACGAUUUAAUUUAAGAUUUUUUUAGGAUUUGAUUUAGGAUUUAGGAAUUAUUAGGGUUUAAGAUUUAAUUAGGUUUGAUCUAAAGUUAAGUGAAAUAUAAUAGGGUUUUAUCUAGAAUUAAGUUAAGGUUGAAUUGACAUAUAUUUGAAUAAAAUUUGUGAUCAUUCUCAUAUUUCUAAACAACUUCGCAAAGUUCUCUUUCGACUUGCGAAUAUGCACACUAACGAAUA